UGUCAUAGGGGCCUCCAUAAGCAAGGAAUAUAUUAAUGGUGACCAACACACACACACAAGUCCAUAAAAUAUGCUUCAAGGAGGGGGCAGCUCAACUCACCCCUCACUCACCCCCAAAGCAUGCAAAGGGAAGAGUGCUGUGGGCUGGGGAAUCUUCCAUCCUGCUACUACUGCUAGCUUUAGAGGAAGUGGGCAGGAAGGUAAGUAGAUUCCUGUAUGCAUUGAGGGAGGGGGGAGAAGGAGAAGAGCUGCAUCGAAUUCGCUGUGCAAUUAUGAGGGUUGGUCGCUUUCUGCAUCAGUCUUCAGGUACAAGCCUCCAACCCAUGCCUUUUGUGUGGAUUCUCUCAAGCUUUCUCUCUAAACUUGUCCUCUAAUUUCCUCUCUUUUUUCUUCCCUCCUUGUGUCUCUCGACCAUAUUCCCCAGCAUCUCUCCUGUUGAAUAUACCUUUUGUCUAAUGCGAGCAGGGAAUAUUCCCUUUGGGCCAUGGAGAUAGGAUUGCAUUUAGAUCUCUAAUUAUCUUCUUCCUUAGUUUAAAGCUCAAGUUAUCUACAGACGAGGAUGAUUCCCUGCCUUUGGAAAGGUGAGGGCAAGCCAAGAAGAAAAAGAACGGCCCUGACAUUGUGUGGAAUCCUUGAUAUGUUAGUUUGCUAAUUGAGGCUUUUGUGCUCGUUAAGUUCUUUCUGGUAAAGUAAGAUUGCCCCUUUUUUGUCCUAAAGGUCCAUUUGAUAGUUGGCAAGUCAGUUACUUGUUUGUAAGUAUUUUUUAUGACCUAUAUAUAUAUAUAUAUAUGGAUUUAGGGGUUGAAAUGUCAUAUGCUUGCUUGCAAGUUAGGUUAGAAGUCAAAAUUACAUUUUCUUCUUUUUUCCAUGUUGUCUCCUCACAUGUUAUUGUUCUGUCUUUUUGCAUUAGCCCAUUCUUCUCAGAGUAUCAAUGGUGGUUUUCUUUAUUAUGAUGACAAACUUAUAUAUGGAGAUCCAAGCAAUUCUAUUACCUUAGUUUAGGCUCACUUACAGUGGAUGUAGGAGAAGACUUUGAGUCUCUGUAAAGAGGGACUAAAUAAAUGUGCUGUCAUUAAAUUGCACUUAGACAUUGCAAAACAGUGGUUUAGGCUCAUCCGAAUAGGAAAGGAUUACUUGUAAAUAUGCAUCAUGGCAUGGAUUCACCAGUGACCUAGAAAGAGGCUUGAGUAUCACAACAAGUGUUAGAUAGGUACACUACAUUUAAUUUGAGCUUGAAAUUUGAGAUCAAUAGUUCAGUGCAUUAUGUUAAUAUGAUAGUUAUUCAUAGCCCCAGGUCAUGUUCAACAGGUUUAUCUUGAUUAUGGAAACACUAGAAGAAAAUUGCUAAUUGCUUAUAGUAUGUAAAUUACACUUCAGUUUUUCUUCAGAUAGGUGAACCUGGGCACAAGUAUAAGUUCUUGAAGCAUUUAGACUAUCCUGAUGUACUGUUAAUCAUCCAAAGAGGAAGCAAGUGAAUAACUUCCCUUCACUAACAAGUUCCAAGUCUGAUUACUUGUGAAGGGGCUAAAGUAUUUGAGUUAAGAAGUACUUAAAGCAUUUGCCGUGGGAGGUUGAUCUGAAAAACGGAAAUGAUUGGAAUGGAUCAGAUUCAUCUCCGGUGGUGCAUCAAGUUAUGGAUCUGCAUUAAUUACUGAGAACAUGGAACUUUUUCUUGUGUACGAGAGACCGACCGAGAUCAUGUAGGUUGCUUUCGGAGUUCUAGAGAUUUCGUAUCAGCCACAAAAAAAAAAAAAAAAAAAAAAAAAAAAACCUAGACCGGAAUCAUUCAACUGUGUGAGCAACAAUAAAAGGUGGACAGGUUCUUGGGCUUGAACAACACACUGUGAUACAUUUUGCCCGUAGAGUAUGCAACAUCUUCAGCCCUCACAUCUGCAGGAAGCUUACAACUCAAAUCAUCUGUCAACAUGACCUUUCUUGGUUCGAGAAUGGAGGGUUGUUCUGUAGAUAUAUAUAUAGAUUGAAAGGCUCAAGCAUAGGAGAGCAAUCCACUCCGCAUUGUUUAUUUUGUGACUUCUACCACUGGAAUCAAGUUCUCCAAUGUAUUUUCGGCUGCCUUUUUCACAUGGGUCAUGAAACUAGAACCUGCACAAAUGCUGCAAAGAGCCGAUCCAUAACGUGCCAUGAAAAGAACAAAGCGGAUCAGAUAGAAUUUUGGGAUUUUUCAGGGACAAAAACUUGGUCAAAUAUGACUUCUCCAACUUGCUGCCAGGACAUCAAAACAUCAGUCCAAAUGACAUCAUUUUGGUUGGAAGAGGAGAAUCCUGCAUCCUAUGUGAGUCAUGUGGCACAAGGUUUGAGAUCACAUCUGAAAUAUAAAUUUCUGCCAGCUGAUAGUGAGCUCUGACAGGUUACACAUUUUCAGAAUACCUUGCUACUUAAAAGUGUUCAUCUCGUCCUAAAGCAAUGAGAAAAGUGCUCAUCUCAGUAAUCAGCACUCAUAUCAGAUCAGCUUAGAUUUGGACUGAGAUCAUGUAUCCUUGCAAUUGGACCUUGAUAAGCCAACUCAAGGGAAGAAUGAGAUCAUAUGAACUUUAAUGGAACUAUGACAAAACUUGAAGUUUGUGUCAGAUGAAACAACAAUUAUCUGCUGCUGAACUUUUGUUGACAAAAGUUACCCAUUUCUUGAGGAGUACUCAUGGCCUCUUUGAAUGGUCUGGUGCAGGCAACAAUAUCCUUUUGCCAUAUGUGCCAUAAUCUGAAGCAACACAAUCAAUGCAUUAGGAGUUGCAUUGCUGAUCUUUCUUGUCUAUAAGCCAAAAAAAAAACCAACUCUUACCUCGCGC